rnacentral:rRNA from 1 species
ACGCGCCUACGGGGCGCAGCAGUGGGGGAUAUUGCACAAUGGGGGGAACCCUGAUGCAGCGACGCCGCGUGGGUGAAGGAGCGUUUCGGCGCGUAAAGCCCUAUCGGCAGGGAAGAAGGAGGACGGUACCUGACUAAGAAGCCCCGGCUAACUACGUGCCAGCAGCCGCGGUAAUACGUAGGGAGCAAGCGUUAUCCGGAAUUAUUGGGGGUAAAGGGUGCGUAGACGGGAUAACAAGUUGGUUGUGAAACCCCUCGGCUCAACUGAGGAACUGCAACCAAAACUAUUAUUCUUGAGUGCAGGAG